rnacentral:rRNA from 1 species
UUGAAAGGGAAACGAUUGAAGUCAGUCGUGCUGGCGCGAAAUCAACCUUCUCGUCUUGAGAUCACAUGGCGUGGCGAGCCUCAAAACCGUCACGAAGCGUGAACUCUUUGUGAAAUGGAGCACUUUCGUGUCCGCUGGUUAACAUCAAUUUCGAACGUCAUAAAAAGGCUGGAGGGAUGUGGCUCCUUCGGGAGUGUUAUAACCUUUAGCGGAAUGUGGUGUUCGGGAUUGGGGAUUGCAACGAAUACCUUUAGGGCUGUUCCACCUGGCUUCUCUUUGGUAUCCUGGUGACGACAGCUUGCUGACGUCGUUAGGAUUCGCCUUUGAACAGGCUAGAGUGUGAGCAAAUUCGUUAAGGAUGUUGACGUA